rnacentral:rRNA from 1 species
AUGGACGACGAUGCCGGAGAAUCAGCGCCCAUCGAGCAUUGGAAGGCCACCCCAACCCAUGAUGUAUAUAUGGUGGACACCCCAAAAGGACGCGAUCACGAGGAACAACAGGAUGCGGCAAAGGAUAAUUCCGCCGACAAACAACCAAAACGGCGACGCAGACGCCGCCCUAAGUCCCGCCUCGACAAAAAUAGCACUCCUAAUGACCCAGCAAUAGAGCAGGGCAAACCAGUGGACGACGAACAUGCAACCAAGCAAACAUCCGAACAGGACGAAUUGGAUAAUCAAUCCAUGCCCAGCGAAAACAACAGUCCAGACGAUCUCACGCCGGACACACCACCGGAGCAUAAGAACCUUCACAAAAGACUUGUCGCCACUGCAAGAAUUCUGAAAAAGAAAAAACGGAAGCUCAAGACAGCGGAAGACAUACUCAGAAUGAGGUGGAGCAAGGUACUCAAGACCGCGGACAAAUAUGGCAAUAGCCACCAAACAAAGAGCUACCCGAAGCGCAAGUUGCUGCCAGAAUUCGACGAGGAGGCCAUAGAGCCCCCACAGUCAAAAAGCAAAGAGGCCGCCUGGCCGGAUAGACGACCAGAUGACAGGCCAAAAGCGACAAGCGGCGCCGCACACAAGACGACACAUGAUCCUCGUAAAACAGACGGCAUGGUUAGGUCCAUUUAUGGGCCAAAAAAGAGGGGCCCGGGAAGCAACACAACACGCCGCAUGCUCGAAGAUAAUGGCACGCCUAGAUACAGGGGCGCUGCACACCCACUAUGUUUCACCGAUGAGGUGCUGUAUCAUGAAUUUCCAGCGGGAUUCAAACCCGUAAACAUAGAGGCAUAUGACGGAACAACAGACCCCGGAGUCUGGAUUGAGGAUUACAUACUACACAUACACAUGGCUAGAGGAGAUGAUCUCCAGGCCAUAAAAUAUCUACCCCUCAAGCUCAAAGGGCCAGCUCGGCAUUGGCUCAAAAGCCUCCCAGAAAAUACUGUUGGAAGUUGGGAAGAGCUCGAGGACGCGUUUAGAGCAAAUUUUCAAGGGACUUAUGUCCGCCCUCCGGAUGCAGACGAUUUAAGUCACAUAACUCAACAGCCCGGAGAGUCAGUGUGCAAAUUCUGGAACAGGUUUCUUACCAAAAAGAACCAAAUAGUCGACUGUCCGGACGCCGAAGCCUUAGCAGCUUUUAAACAUAAUGUCCGAGACGAAUAG